GUUGUCUCUUUGAAGUCCUGUAACCAGGGAGUUAACAAGUUAAUAUCGGAGGACAGUCUUUAAUGCAGGUCUUCGGGGCUGUGUUUAUGGCCUGGUGAUUAGAGGGCAUAUAGACUGCUAGGUGAGGGGGCAAAAAGGGGCUCAAGAACACAGGUGACAUGUCUUUCUUGCAUGCCUCUCAAUUUUGAAAUCAGAUUUUUCCCAAUGUUGUAGCAGCAUUAGAGGGAACGGUAUGAUUUAACACCCUGUUCAGAAUAUGUGCUUAUAUGAACUGCAUGUGUGUGCGUAAACAUAGAUGUAGCAAAUACAGAUUUAAAUUGCAUGAGGUGAAAUAUUUGCAUGCAUUUUUAUUAUUUAAGUUUUUUUUUUUACUUACUUUACAUGACUAUUUUGCCUCUAAAUGUUUUUUUUUUUUCAUUUGUGUCUCAAUGCAUAUGUAUCUUUUGUAUUUAUUUGUGAAAGGAUAUUUUUCUUUCUAUUUAAACAUAUGAAAUUACAUUGCAUUACAGAUAAAAAUCUCAUCUUUUGCUAACGCUUAACUUAUUCCAAACCUAUAUGAGUGUCUUUCUUCUUUUGAGCACAAAAAAAAAUAUUUUGAAGAAUGUUAGUAUUGACUUUUAUAGUAUGGAAAAAAGCCAUUGACUUCAAUAGUCUGGAAAAAAAAUACUAUGGAAGUCGAUGGCUACCGAUUGAAUACUUAAAGUCCAUUGACAUCUUUAAUACCUCUGUAAAUUAAGUAUAACAUAAAAUUGCAGAGCUGCAGUACUAGUUGCAGUAGAUAUUAAUCGCUUUCCCCUUCUUGAUCCGCCAGCUCUUCCGUGUCAGUCUGCCAUGAGGCAGGCGUUCCAGUUUGGCUGCUGCAAGCUGGGCUCUCUGAACCAUGGGGUCAGCGCACCUCCAGCGCUACUCCAGCUUGUGCUUCAUCCUCUACCACACAGGGGGCACCUGGCACCCCUCCCUACCAUGGCAGGCCAGAUCAAUGGUAAGAUCCAUUCGAGCAGAAUGACCGGAGGUCGGCAUCAAAGGCCCCCCGCUUGUCUCGCUGCCACCUGGAGCUCAGCGAGGGUCAUGGGCCGCCUGAGCCACCACUGCCUCCUCUUCCCUUCAACAGGCUGUGUAUGCUGACUAGGACCCAGGCAGGGUAUGAGCUGGCUCUGCCCUGGCCCUGGCGCCCACAUGGGGAGAGGACCAGAGGUCAAGCCCAUUGGAGCACUUUGCUUCAUCUGAUGAGAGGAUCUGGUCUGGUUUUAAUGAGGCAACACUGAUUCCACAGCCCUUUACGCAUGUGAGCAGGCCUAAUGUGGUGAUUGUAUUAGAUGUAAUGCUGUGAUUUUCCUUCCAGUCACUGGAUGCAGAGGAAGCAUCUUAGCUGUUUAUAUGUAUAUUUUAAUACCAAAAGUGAAAUCUUGUGUCAAAUGCAUGUUACAUAUUCACAUUGUUUUCCCUUUAAAGGGGCCUCGUAAUUGGUGUUAAAUGCAGUAAUUCCUCAAAUAAUGAGAAUAAUAAAAAUGUAUAGUUCACUCAAAAA